rnacentral:rRNA from 1 species
AUGACGUACUUGUACUGAUUGAGAUUUUAACACGAAGUGAGUGGCGAACGGGUGAGUAACACGUGGGUAACCUGCCCAGAAGUAGGGGAUAACACCUGGAAACAGAUGCUAAUACCGUAUAACAGAGAAAACCGCAUGGUUUUCUUUUAAAAGAUGGCUCUGCUAUCACUUCUGGAUGGACCCGCGGCGUAUUAGCUAGUUGGUGAGGUAAAGGCUCACCAAGGCAGUGAUACGUAGCCGACCUGAGAGGGUAAUCGGCCACAUUGGGACUGAGACACGGCCCAGACUCCUACGGGAGGCAGCAGUAGGGAAUCUUCCACAAUGGACGCAAGUCUGAUGGAGCAACGCCGCGUGAGUGAAGAAGGGUUUCGGCUCGUAAAGCUCUGUUGUUAAAGAAGAACGUGGGUAAGAGUAACUGUUUACCCAGUGACGGUAUUUAACCAGAAAGCCACGGCUAACUACGUGCCAGCAGCCGCGGUAAUACGUAGGUGGCAAGCGUUAUCCGGAUUUAUUGGGCGUAAAGCGAGCGCAGGCGGUCUUUUAAGUCUAAUGUGAAAGCCUUCGGCUCAACCGAAGAAGUGCAUUGGAAACUGGGAGACUUGAGUGCAGAAGAGGACAGUGGAACUCCAUGUGUAGCGGUGAAAUGCGUAGAUAUAUGGAAGAACACCAGUGGCGAAGGCGGCUGUCUGGUCUGCAACUGACGCUGAGGCUCGAAAGCAUGGGUAGCGAACAGGAUUAGAUACCCUGGUAGUCCAUGCCGUAAACGAUGAUUACUAAGUGUUGGGAGGGUUUCCGCCCUUCAGUGCUGCAGCUAACGCAUUAAGUAAUCCGCCCGGGGAGUACGACCGCAAGGUUGAAACUCAAAAGAAUUGACGGGGGCCCGCACAAGCGGUGGAGCAUGUGGUUUAAUUCGAAGCUACGCGAAGAACCUUACCAGGUCUUGACAUCUUCUGACAGUCUAAGAGAUUAGAGGUUCCCUUCGGGGACAGAAUGACAGGUGGUGCAUGGUUGUCGUCAGCUCGUGUCGUGAGAUGUUGGGUUAAGUCCCGCAACGAGCGCAACCCUUAUUACUAGUUGCCAGCAUUAAGUUGGGCACUCUAGUGAGACUGCCGGUGACAAACCGGAGGAAGGUGGGGACGACGUCAAAUCAUCAUGCCCCUUAUGACCUGGGCUACACACGUGCUACAAUGGAUGGUACAACGAGUCGCGAGACCGCGAGGUUAAGCUAAUCUCUUAAAACCAUUCUCAGUUCGGACUGUAGGCUGCAACUCGCCUACACGAAGUCGGAAUCGCUAGUAAUCGCGGAUCAGCAUGCCGCGGUGAAUACGUUCCCGGGCCUUGUACACACCGCCCGUCACACCAUGAGAGUUUGUAACACCCAAAGCCGGUGGGGUAACCUUUUAGGAGCU